UACGUAGGGUGCAAGCGUUGUCCGGAAUUACUGGGGCGUAAAGCGCACGUAGGCGGCUUUGUAAGUUAGAGGUGAAAGCCCGGAGCUCAACUCCGGAAUUGCCUUUAAGACUGCAUCGCUCGAAUCAUGGAGAGGUGAGUGGAAUUCCGAGUGUAGAGGUGAAAUUCGUAGAUAUUCGGAAGAACACCAGUGGCGAAGGCGACUCACUGGACAUGUAUUGACGCUGAGGUGCGAAAGCGUGGGGAGCAAACAGG
rnacentral:rRNA from 1 species